AUGUCUGACCCCAGUACCGAAGUUAAUUCUGAACCCACCGUCCCUUCGACCGAAGAGACUACUAACACAGAUACAAAUGACUCUCAGGAAGCAGAAAAGCCAGCACCAGCCAAACGGACAGGAAAGAAAAGAUCGAUGAACUCAGACUUACAAAUUGCGCAGGAAGCAGAAGCUCUCCUUAAGGGACUGUCAACUCCAGACACUGAAAAUGAAGGCCGUCGGACAACAAGAUCUCGAACUCGAGGUUCGACCACACCUGUUGCCACCCCUCCGCCACCUAAAAGAGAACGCAAGUCUGCAUCUGGAACCAGAGGAGGUAGAAGAGGGCGGCCUAAGAAGGAAGAAGUAGAAGUAGAAGAGCCAGAAGAAAAUGAUACUGCAGAAGAAGAGAAGAAAGAAGAAAAUAAUGUUGACGGAAAGGAAAACAAUGUUGAUGCCAAGAAGAAAGAUGAAGAACCCGAAGAGAAGGAAGAAAUAGACGGUGCCGAAGAAAGCACGAAAGAACCGGAAGCAAACUCGGAAAGUGAGAAAGAAGUCUCGACAACUGUUGCGGAAGCAGGAGAAAAAGACAAGAGCAAAGAGGAGAAACCAGAACCAAUGGAAGUAGACGCACCUGAUGCACCUUCAAAACCAACUCCUACACCAACCCCUGAAUCAAAUAGUUCUUGUGUCAAGAGUGAAGAAAAAAGUAAAGAGCCGGAAAAGAAAGAAGAAAAGCCAGUUGAACCUCCAGUAGAAGAAACUAAAAAAGAAAAUACAGAAAAUACAUCACCAGUUGUUGAAAGCGGAGACCAAAAACCUGCCGUAGAAGAAGAAAAGUCAGUUAAAUCAGCUGUUUCAGAGGAAAGUGCACCUCCGAAAACAGAAGCAGACCCUGUGUCAGAGCCUGUAGCUGUCCGUUAAUCCCUCCCACGGCAAACUAAACUUCCUCAUUCUCUGUUGACUGCAUUUUGUACAUUAUUUCCUGAUUCCAAAAAGUUCAUCUGUAGUACUAAUGACGCAAGUUUUUUUGUUCGUUUUCCUUUAUUUCAUGUCGAAAUUGUAAAGAAGAGCACGUUGAACCUUACCAAAAUUGAACUGGAAACUACGUAUUAUAUUUUGAAUCAGCUUGUAACUAAUCUUUAUUAAGAGGCUUCGGUCCUCUGUAUGUAAUAUUUUUAAACCCAUAAUUUUACACUAUGAUGUUAAUGUCUAGUAAAUUAAUGUUGCAUCUUGUCCUACGAGGCUAAUUCUUUACUUUUUGUCUGUGAGUAGCGUUCGACCAAAAUCCUUGUACAUUAAUUUCUUUUUGUCAAGCGCCCUCAUGGAUCUCUUAAUUGUGGUCAAGAAGACAAACCUCUUGAUCCUAGCUGCUUUCUCUUGAUGAGAAAUAUUUGAAAGUUUGUGAACAACAUCAUACACAAGAGUAAAGAAUCAGAUCUCCUUGAUAUAUUUCUCAUUUCUAAGUUUUCCUCAUUUUGAUUUUUUAAGCUGAUGUUAAAUUUUUCUUUUACAUUAUUUUACUUUUCCUUUUCCCUUAUUUCAAGGAAUUUUGUUCUUUCUUUCAAUGUGUUAUAAACUUCAGAUUUUGUGUUUGUGUAUGAAAGGGGGAAAAUUUAUUCAGAAUAAAUAAGUCAUUUUAUUGUAAUAUAAAGAAUUGGAAAGAUUUUUUGGUUUGCAUUUUCACUACUUCUAAUUCCCAUCAACUUGCUUUUGCUUCAUGCUAUCCCUAACUUGAUGAACUACCAGCCAGGUUUAAAAAUUAAACACCAGAACACUUAUAAUUUAUCUUUGAUGAAACUGCAGGAAUGCGUACCUCGUUUGCUGUGCUUAAAAAUCUGU
rnacentral:lncRNA from 1 species